GCCAGGCAUGGUAGCUCAUGCCUGUAAUCCCAACAACUAGGGAGGCUGAGGCAAGAGGAUCACAAGCUGAAGACCAGCCUCAG
rnacentral:sRNA from 1 species